CUUCUUCUGGCUCUUGUUUUCCUAUUCUUACACAUGGGACGCUCGUUGGAGAUCUUGCUGCAUCCACAAAAGGCAGACUUCCGCUGCAAAGCACAACAUAUCCAUCAAUGGUAUCAGAGCAUUGGUUUAUCGAUCCCAAAGCUUCAACACAACAGAUGAACUGUUCUCGCCGAAGAGAGCCAAACCAGAAAAGAGAAGAAGCGUUUAUAGUUUCUACCACAGCAGUAAAGAUCAAUAAGAGUGUGAAAUUGGAUCAAUAUCAGAUCCAAUUCUUAAAUCAAUCGACUUCUCCUGUAUCAGAUCCGAUCGAUGAGAAUCAGAUCAAGGUCAAAUGCUAAACAAGAUCUGGCCCGUUUAGUUUUCUAAUCUAUUGACUACUGACUAGUGAUUGCUAGCUGUAUCUUUAACCCGUUUGGAUUGUAUUAAAUCUAAAGCAUUGAGAUUUAAUUGUUCAGUCAGUGAUUUUAUUUGUAGAAAAAAAAAGGAAUCGCAUGGAGCUGCGAGCUGAAAGUUCGAAACUGUUGAGUUUCACACCGAUGAAAGUUGAAACCUCAUUUUCCCAGGAAACACUCGCGGAAACGGUCAGUAUGUAAUUGAAGGACAAGACAGUCAUGUGCUGAGAUGAAAGCGAAAAGGGAUGACAAGACUUUAACCACCGGCCUCAACUGCCAACUUCUUCUCCCUCACGGAAAGGCCGUGAAAUGGAAAAAGGAGCCGACCAUGUGCCCCAAAAGGGAAAUCGCGCAAAAGGUUUUCCAUUUCGUCUUCUCCAUUGGAUGAAACAUUUUCAAUCAGUGUCUGUCUCUUUCACGAAAUACAUAGUCCCGCUUUGGUAGUGCCCACGGUGCCUAGUGAAAAUUUAGGAUCCUAAUUCCUGGCCAUGACGAAUUGGGAAUGCUAAUUUGAUAUUGUUGAACUGAAAAUACUAAUAUGAUAUAUGUGAGAAUUUAGGAUCCUAGCCUUUGCUGAAAUUCUCUUUGGAUGCUCUUAUAAAAUUAAAAAAAAAAAAACAAAAGUAGUAGAUCUAACUUGGUUUUUCACCACGAAGGCCACCAUUGAUCUCAAGGAUUAAUAGUGUGAGACUUGAUAUUUAUAGUCUUUGUUUGUAAUAAUUUUCAGAUGUUUCUCCUUAUUUAUUUUGCGACCGCCAAUCAAUGACCCUCCUUAUUGAUAGCAAUGCUAUUAUUAUUUUAAUUUUUA